rnacentral:misc_RNA from 1 species
AAAAAAAAAAAUCAAAAGUAUCAUAAAUUCAAAGCAAUAGACCCACUGGAUGCUAUAGGCCAAUGCUAUUGGCUGAAUCUCAUUGAUUGAGAAAGUGACAAGGGUAUGCUUGAGACGGGUGAUUUGGUGGGUUUGAGUGGAAAAGGGUUUGGGGGAGACCGUCAAUCGGCAGAAUUUGCCCCAAUUUUUGGACCCACUGAGAGUGUGUGUGGGUGUGUCGUGUGACCAAAAUUCGGCUCACUGCUUCGUCCAGAUUGUAGGCUUGAGCAGCUCGCGUGCCUACCUCCGCUAUUCUUCAAACUUUAUAAAAU